ACUCGUACAGUUACAGCACAAACUUAAUAGAUCCCAGAGACUGUCCAUAGGAAUAAAACCUUCCCUGAACUUGGUGCUGUCCUGUGCCUCAGUUAGGUACGUGUUUUCACCAAUGUCUCCAUAAUUUCUCCCUCGUGUGAACCUUCAAGUAUUGCAGGUGAAUUGCACCGGUGACGGUGAUCCUCAAAGGAAGCAUUUGUUUCCCACAUCCCAUUGGGGUGUUUUAUGGGAGCCGAGAGGACAGACUCCCGGGAAACUGGCUGCACGCUGUCAGAGGUAUGUGUCCAUGUCAAAAUCUUACUUCAAG
rnacentral:lncRNA from 1 species